AAAAAAUACCAAUAUCGUCAAGAAAUGCAGAACCACAAUGUUAUAUCAUACUUAAGAACUUCUUUGAGCAACCUGAACCGAACAACAUUUCAUGUAUUAGAUUUGAUGAAACUACUAUUUCAUAAUUUAAACCAUGUCCACAACAUGGCUGCUUUCCAUCACUUAUGCAUAUUAUCACUUUGUGUGGGGAACCAUACUCCAAACCGAGACAUAGCAACAAAGAGCACAAACUUUCGGAGAAAAAAUGGAAACAUCUAAGAAAAUUCCUCCCAUUUGCAGCUGGUCAAAUCUGCAAGAGGAAAACAAAUAUGAAGAAAAGACACAACUUUGAGAGAAGAGUACAAUACCAAACAAAUGGAUUGAUAGCUAAUGUCAUGUGUCCAUGUCUACGUUCGCGAUACCAGGCACAAUUCCGAACACAAAUUGUAACAAUCCUCACUAAUGGUGACACACCAAAUAGUUUAGAUAUCCAUGUAUAUGAUAUACUGGGAUUCAAAGGACAGAGCAAAGGGUAAAGUUGAUAGAUGAAUUAAACACGGUUCUGAACAUGCCUCCCUGCACACUUUGUUGACCUCUCUUUACAAAGGCUAUGCCAUCUGAUUCUUUCUAGCUAGGUGCAGCCAAAACGUGAUGUGGCAGUGGCACAUGAUACAGCCAGAAAUGACUUGGACCUAACUCCUUCAGUUAACUGCAUUUUAUUAGUCUGACUGACGGUUAAGUGCAUGUUGUCUUCAGUCCGGCUCAUGUCCGUGACAAACACCUGUAGUUUCAAAUAGACCAAGCAGAAUUAAAUACCAAGACCAAAAAUUAGGGAUCAACAAGCACAUGUGAGGCUCCAGUAAUAUCUGAAGAAGUAGCAGACUGAGGCUGCUGCUUACUGCUCCGCAUUGAAAUGGUAGUCCAUGGACAUCUCUUGCGUCCUGGUCAGCGUACACACACUCAUUUGCGUUCACUACAUACACUUAUAGCAGUAGCUUAUACAGUUAGAAACCCCCCUUCGAGCGAUGCAUAUAUGCGAAGCUGAACGUACUGGACUCAGAACAUGCCUGCAUGAGCGUGAGGCCUUGGUUGCGGAGGAGGAGCGGCACCGUGUCGGCGAGGAACUCCGGCGCAGGCUAUGUGGAAGAUGGCGACGAACUCGCCGCGACGGGCGUGACAUGAGGUUAAUUGCGCCAUCCUAAAUUCUUAACUACUACCACCUUUUCAAACUUUAGCUAGCUCAAUCUCUCUGACUAUCUAGACACUUGAGGUCGUCCGAUCAAUCGUCUGUAGCCUAAACACUCUAUGUUAACAAAGCGAGCCAUGUGUGCGUACAUACCUAGACAGCUAGAAGAGCACCAUGGAGAAGCAGGUCGCGGUAGAAUGGCCGGUCGCUGCCGCCUUGUCUCAUCUUCAUCGCGGCGCUAACAGUCCCGAGGAAGACCAUCUGGGCGAGUACCAUAACUGACAUGUAGGGGUGCAUGGCGAGCGGGACUGCCCGCUAAGCCGCAAAGCCGUCCCGCAAAAAAAGCCUAGCACGCAUCACUGACCUGGCCGCAUCAGCACAAGCGGGAUCAGACGGCAAUGACCGCUUCGUCCGCCGGGUGUCUCUUUUAUCCCGCAUAUGUCAUCGUAGGAAGGAUCGGAGCUAUGCCAAUCCCAGUCCAGGUCCCCAACUCCGGUCGCUAUUCACGUGGAUUGGAUACGGGAUUAAUUACCUCUAUUCCCUCGCCGACGGAGUUGACGAUGUCCUCCCCUCGCCGCCGGCGCUGGAGCCNN
rnacentral:lncRNA from 1 species